rnacentral:rRNA from 1 species
GAGUUUGAUCCUGGCUCAGGACGAACGCUGGCGGCGUGCCUAAAACAUGCAAGUCGAACGAGCCUUCGGGCUAGUGGCGAACGGCGGAGUAAGACAUAAGCAACCUGCCCUGAAGACGGGGAUAUACGGGGGAAACCCCGGGUAAGUACCGACUAUGGCUCCGGAGAGGCAUCUCUUUGGUAAUUAAACGGUUUUUACGUCUUCUAGGAGGGGCGUUAUUGAUGCAUCAGGUAGGUUGGUGGGGUAAAGGGACCUACCAAGACCGACGACGCAUAGGGGGUCGUGAGAGGA